GCAUCGAUAGCUCAGUAGCAGAGCAGUGGGGUCAAGGGUGGGGCGCUAGCCCAUGCGGCCCGGGUUCGAGCCCCGGUCGAUGCA